rnacentral:rRNA from 1 species
UUAAUGGAGAGUUUGAUCCUGGCUCAGGACGAACGCUGGCGGCGUGCCUAAUACAUGCAAGUCGAGCGGGGUUAUUUAGAAGCUUGCUUCUAAAUAACCUAGCGGCGGACGGGUGAGUAACACGUAGGCAACCUGCCCACAAGACAGGGAUAACUACCGGAAACGGUAGCUAAUACCCGAUACAUCCUUUUCCUGCAUGGGAGAAGGAGGAAAGGCGGAGCAAUCUGUCACUUGUGGAUGGGCCUGCGGCGCAUUAGCUAGUUGGUGGGGUAAAGGCCUACCAAGGCGACGAUGCGUAGCCGACCUGAGAGGGUGAUCGGCCACACUGGGACUGAGACACGGCCCAGACUCCUACGGGAGGCAGCAGUAGGGAAUCUUCCGCAAUGGGCGAAAGCCUGACG